rnacentral:misc_RNA from 1 species
UAAAUUUAAAAAAAAAAAGUGUGACUUAUUGCAAGAAACAUUAAGCUACACUUGUGAAUUUCAAGGAGGAUUGAUGUACAUAGUCUUGCCGCUAAUUUUACAAACAGACUAUUUCCGUAGCUCGGAUGUGUGACCUCCAGGUCACAAAUGGAAUAACUUUAUCGUUACACCAAAGCCAUCUCUAGGUCACAAAUGUAUGUGUUAUGAAUACUAGUAAGGAUAAUAAAGGGCUGUAAUUGUAUGGUGAAGAGAGUCGAAUAAGAUGUAGUUGAGAUGAGUUGACAGCUCUUAUAUUUGUUCCUUAGUAGAAGAGUCCUUAGUUAGUAAAAGAGAUGUUGUAUAAAUAACUGAAGAGUUGUAAC